UUGACGGGGCCCGCACAAGCGGUGGAGCAUGUGGUUUAAUUCGAAGCAACGCGAAGAACCUUACCAGGUCUUGACAUCCCCUGACAACCCGAGAGAUCGGGCGUUCCCCUUCGGGGGACAGGGUGACAGGUGGUGCAUGGUUGUCGUCAGCUCGUGUCGUGAGAUGUUGGGUUAAGUCCCGCAACGAGCGCAACCCUCGACCUUAGUUGCCAUCAUUCAGUUGGGCACUCUAGCGAGACUGCCGGUAAUAAACCGGAGGAAGGUGGGGAUGACGUCAAAUCAUCAUGCCCCUUAUGACCUGGGCUACACACGUGCUACAAUGGUUGGUACAACGAGAAGCGAGGGGGCGACCUUGAGCGGAUCCCUCAAAGCCGGUCUCAGUUCGGAUUGCAGUCUGCAACUCGACUGCAUGAAGUUGGAAUCGCUAGUAAUCGUGGAUCAGCCAAGCCGCGGUGAAUACGUUCCCGGGCCUU
rnacentral:rRNA from 1 species